rnacentral:piRNA from 1 species
UAAGAUUAAUUCAGGCUGCAUCCAGAAC